UCCUUCACAUUCCUCAGAUGCUUCCUCUGGUCCCUGGACCCCACAGCCUCCCCUCACCUCCUGGAGUAGCUCAGCACAGUUGGCUUCAUCCAGUUCCCUGCGCAAAAGUGAAGGAAGACCCGUAGCAGGAAGUCGGCAUCUCUGUGUGGCUCAAAGGUGGAGGGAAUGAUGACAUAUUCCCCCGGAGGCAGCCGGAGAUGACUGCUCACCUCCCGCGAAUUAGUGAAGAUCUCUGAGAAGCCAUGGUCCUGAUACUUUAUGAAGAAGUCCUUCUUCAAGCGAGUAUCCUGGAUGUUCUGAAACUAUAUGUGCCUUGGAGAGAGAGACAGAGCAUAAGCAGGAGAGGGACACACAGAAUCCAA